AAAUAUUGAUUAAACGUAUGGGACGUUACAUGUGUCCGACACCUUGGCACCUUCUUAUAUAAAUGCCACAUCGAAAAAGGCUGGUGCUGCAGCCGAACUCGCUUGCAAACGAAAACACGAUCAUUACACUAAAAUAAAGGCGUCAAAUUUCAUAUCCGUUGGAUUGGCAUUCGAAACGCUAGGCCCUUGGUGUGACGAAACAAAGUCUUUCAUUGAUGCAAUUGGUAAAAAACUAAUUCAAGAAUCGGGUGAUGUGCGUGCCAAAAAGUUUUUAUAUGAUAGAAUUUCUUUGGCCAUUCAACAAGGGAAUGCAUGUAGCAUUCUUGGAACACAACCUAAGAAAGAAA